rnacentral:misc_RNA from 1 species
GAUGAAGAACGUAGCGAAAUGCGAUAAGUAAUGUGAAUUGCAGAAUUCAGUGAAUCAUCGAAUCUUUGAACGCACAUUGCGCCCGCCAGUAUUCUGGCGGGCAUGCCUGUUCGAGCGUCAUAUCAACCAUCAAGCCCCCGGCUUGUGUUGGGGACCUGCGGCUGCCGCAGGCCCUGAAAACCAGUGGCGGGCUCGCUAGUCACUCCGAGCGUAGUAAUACAUCUCGCUCAGGGCGUGCUGCGGGUUCCGGCCGUUAAAAAGCCUUAUUUACCCAAGGUUGACCUCGGAUCAGGUAGGAAGACCCGCUGAACUUAAGCAUAUCAAUAAGCGGAGGA